rnacentral:rRNA from 1 species
UACGAGGGGGUCAAAUGUUGUUCGGAAUCACUGGGCGUAAAGGGAGCGUAGGCGGGUUUUUAAGUUGGAUGUUUAACCCCGGGGCCCAACCCCGGAUCGGCAUCCAAAACUGGGAAUCUUGAAUAGGGGAGAGGUCAGUGGAAUUGGAGGUGUAGCGGUGGAAUGCGUAGAGAUCUCCAAGAACACCAGUUGCGAAGGCGGCUGACUGGACCCAUAUUGACGCUGAGGCUCGAAAGCAUGGGGAGCAAACAGG